rnacentral:rRNA from 1 species
AAUGGAUGUGUUACAACCCUGAAAAUGCCCCAGUUUGUUUGAUCUUGGAAGCUAAGCAGGGUGAGGCUUGGUUGGUAGUUGGAUGGGAGACCGCUUUGAGAAUAUGGGGUGCUAUUG